AGAGUUUGAUCCUGGCUCAGGACGAACGCUGGCGGCGUGCCUAAUACAUGCAAGUCGAGCGAACAUUUGAGAGCUUGCUCUCAAAUGUUAGCGGCGGACGGGUGAGUAACACGUGGGCAACCUGCCUAUAAGACUGGGAUAACUUCGGGAAACCGGAGCUAAUACCGGAUAAUUCACAUNUACUCAUGUAGAUGUGCUGAAAGACGGUUUACGCUGUCACUUAUAGAUGGGCCCGCGGCGCAUUAGCUAGUUGGUGAGGUAACGGCUCACCAAGGCCACGAUGCGUAGCCGACCUGAGAGGGUGAUCGGCCACACUGGGACUGAGACACGGCCCAGACUCCUACGGGAGGCAGCAGUAGGGAAUCUUCCGCAAUGGACGAAAGUCUGACGGAGCAACGCCGCGUGAGUGAUGAAGGUUUUCGGAUCGUAAAACUCUGUUGUUAGGGAAGAACAAGUACCGGAGUAACUGCCGGUACCUUGACGGU
rnacentral:rRNA from 1 species